AAUCCAGAAAUGAGAGCCUCACUGUUGGAAAGUUGUGUCCACUUAUUUACCAUGUUCAGCCACCUGCUGCUUGAUCCAGCCCACAAGGUACGAAAGGGAAAACGAAAUUUUAACAAGGACGAAGAAGUCUCAGUUCCCACCUUGGACUUAAUGUGGAAGGAUCUUUGUCCUCCUACUGCAAUUUGCUUUUUCAUGACACUGAAGUGAUUGAACCGACAAAUAAGAAGGCCAGCACUGUGGACACGCAAGUUGAAGUCAACAUCAUCACAGAACUUCUGGAACAGAGAAAUAAAGUAAGCAGAAUGAGGCCAAACAUCCUUGAGCUGAAUUUGACCUAUUUCAACAAUAAGAUGGAACAGAAGGUAAACUUCUAAAGCUGACAACAUUUAAAUCCUCUGGCCUUUGGAAAAUUCAGCCUCAGUUCUCCAUUUGGAAUGCAGAUUUGUACAGCAAACAGGAUGAUGUGCAGAACUGUGGAAUUAACAUCCAAGGCUUGGAUUUAAAACAGCGAAGUAAUUACUGCACAGUAAGAAAAAUGAUAUUUUAUUGUAUGUUUUGAAAACCCUCUUUGAUUUUAGCAAUAUUUAUGUGGAUACUUGUUAUCCACAUAUCCCAGUGUCUCUGUGUUUUAAAAUACACCUUUUUCGUUGCUAGCUCAGGCUUGGACUGCCAUGUAAUGCUUCAACCUCAACAGCACCCACAUAAAGCAAUAUGGAUUAAAGACACAGGCAGGAAAUGGAUGAUGUGGUCUGGCAUUCCUGACCUUUUAGCAUUGCUGCCCAUGCUUGUAUCAUUUUAUUUUAUUGCACUGUCGUUUUCUUCAUUAGCAGUUCAUAAUGCUUCAUAAGAUAAUAGCACUGGACUGCUUGGGAGCAGUGUUCUGUAUCAGAAGAUGAACGGGAGCAAAUUUAAAAUGCUCUUUUAGUGUCAGAUUGGUAAUGAUAGGAAUUUAGGUCAUCUGUUUAUCCAGACUAAUGAAAGUAGAAGAUCUUCCUCUCAGUUAGAAAUAAAUUUGGACUUCAGGAGACAUCUUCCUGAGAAAUACAGUAGAGUUUUGCUGUGCAUUUUAGAUGACCUGGGCUAUCCCAAAUAGCUUAAAGAAAAAAUAAAUAUUUUAGAUUUCCUGUAAUACGUUUCAACCCCAUGUGGAUAUGCUGUGCAUGCUGAGGUGCCUAAAGACUCACUUUAGACAGAGGAAUCCCACCUCUGACAAUAGCUACUUCAUUCUGUUGUGAUAAAUGCUUGUUUCUCGGAACCAAUACCCCAGGGUUUUUUCAAGUAAAUCAGUGAAUGCCUGUGAGGUGCUGCACCUAGUGAAUGCAGUUCUGGUAACCGUGGUGACGCUGUUCAUGGUAGUAUUUUAAUUUGAAAUACUCUAUGUGAUAUAAAUAAAAAGAAAAAUGGGAGUUCUGUGGCAGCAGAAUGUGAGAAAUAAUCACUAAUGUUGAUGUUCAUUUACUGCUUUCUUCUGAUUUGGCUGAUAAACAUACAUGGAAUAGAAUAGGAAUAGGAAUAGGAAUAGGAAUAGGAAUAGGAAUAGGAAUAGAGAAUAGGAUAGUUCAGUUGGAAGUGGCAUGCAAAGAUUAUCCAAUCCAGCUGUCUGACCACUUCAGGAUUAACCAAAAGUUAAAUUAUACUAAAUGUCUCUUGAACACUGACAGGCAUGACUAUCUUGCUAAGAAACCUGUUCCAAUGUUUGACCAUCCUCAUGGGAAAGAAAUUUGUCUUAAUAUCUAUUCUGAUCUAUAUUAUGCUCCUCAGCAUAAAAACAAACAAACAAACAAACAAAACCAAACAGCUGUAUCUCUGUAUCUCAGUUCCAUCUCAGAACAAGACUUAGUUAUGCACCAUUCACCCACAAAGCCAUGAUUUCCUUUGGAAAAGUCCAAGUUGGCAGGAAGAGAAAUAUGGUGUUACCAGAAGGCUACUCGGAUAAAACUGGGAGGCCUGCAUUACAGUACACAUUGCUCAGUGCAUCUACUCCAACUCAAAUGACUGCUUCUUUGAAACUGUGGGGAUUAAUGUCUUUUUUUAACUAUUGGUAAUUUGGGAAGGAUUUGAAUGUUCAAAAAGAAAACAAAACCUGUUUGUGCUCCAUUAAUAACCUCCUAAAAAUCCAGCAAUAGCGUUUGUAAAAUUUAUUUGGUUCAUUAUGUCUUUUGAAAGACGUUAGAG